AUCUAUGGCCAUACCACCAUGAACGUGCCCGAUCUCAUCUGAUCUCCGAAGCUAAGCAGGGUCGGGCCUGAUUAGUACUUGAAUGGGAGCUCUUAUUCCACGUCCAGCUAUGCUAAAGUUG
ensembl:rRNA 5S_rRNA 5S ribosomal RNA